GAUGAACGCUGGCGGCGUGCCUAAUACAUGCAAGUCGAACGAAACUUCUUUAUCACCGAGUGCUUGCACUCACCGAUAAAGAGUUGAGUGGCGAACGGGUGAGUAACACGUGGGCAACCUGCCCAAAAGAGGGGGAUAACACUUGGAAACAGGUGCUAAUACCGCAUAACCAUAGUUACCGCAUGGUAACUAUGUAAAAGGUGGCUAUACUACCGCUUUUGGAUGGGCCCGCGGCGCAUUAGCUAGUUGGUAGGGUAAAGGCUUACCAAGGCAAUGAUGCGUAGCCGAAGUGAGAGGUUGAUCGGCCACAUUGGGACUGAGACACGGCCCAAACUCCUACGGGAGGCAGCAGUAGGGAAUCUUCCACAAUGGGCGAAAGCCUGAUGGAGCAACGCCGCGUGGGUGAAGAAGGUCUUCGGAUCGUAAAACCCUGUUGUUAGAGAAGAAAGUGCGUGAGAGUAACUGUUCACGUUUCGACGGUAACUAAUCAGAAAGCCACGGCUAACUACGUG
rnacentral:rRNA from 1 species